rnacentral:rRNA from 1 species
GAUGAACGCUGGCGGCGUGCCUAAUACAUGCAAGUCGAGCGAACAGACCAGGAGCUUGCUGCUCUGACGUUUGCGGCGGCCGGGUGAGUAACACGUGGAUACCCCACCUAUAAGACUGGGAUAAAUUCGGGAAACGGGAGCUAAUCCGGGAUAAUAUAUUGACACGCAUGGUUCUAUAGUGAAAGUCGGUUUUGCUGUUAAUUAUGGAUGGUUCCGCGCCGCAUUGGCUAGUUGGUAAGGUAACGGCUUACCAAGGCAAGGAGGCGUAGCCGAGCUGAGAGAGGGAUCGCCCACACUAGAAUGGAGACACGGGCCACACUCCUACGGGAGGCAGCAGUAUAGAAUCUUACGCAAUGGACGGAAGCCUGACAGAGCAGCGCCGCGUAAGUAAUGAAGCUGUUCUGUUCGUAAAACACUGUUAGUAGAGAAGAACAAAUGUGUAAGUAACUAUGCACGUAAUGACGGUACCUGAUCAGAAAGCCACGGCUAACUACGUG